ACUUGAAUUGAAGAGUUUGAUCAUGGCUCAGAUUGAACGCUGGCGGCAGGCUUAACACAUGCAAGUCGAACGGUAGCAGGAGGAAGCUUGCUUUCUUGCUGACGAGUGGCGGACGGGUGAGUAAUGCUUGGGAAUCUGGCUUAUGGAGGGGGAUAACGAUGGGAAACUGUCGCUAAUACCGCGUAGUGUCGAGAGACGAAAGGGUGGGACUUUUAGCCACCUGCCAUGAGAUGAGCCCAAGUGGGAUUAGGUAGUUGGUGGGGUAAAGGCCUACCAAGCCUGCGAUCUCUAGCUGGUCUGAG
rnacentral:rRNA from 1 species